rnacentral:misc_RNA from 1 species
UUGCACACGUGGCUGUAGGCGUCUUCUGGUUUGUUUCGGUUUGUGAGAAAAUGGGACGCGCACCUUGCACCACUUUCAGAGAUUUACUAGAGGAGUAUAACGUGGAGGUAAAAGGACCAUUCAACCAUUUGGCUAGAAAUGAAGCUGGUCUUCCACGGGAAUGGUAUGACCCUUCUUCAAGUGUAGAAGAUAAGCAAACCCGCCAGUCAAGAAACAAAGUCCUGG